rnacentral:lncRNA from 1 species
AUGUUCUCCUGGACAACUGAGAUCAUGAAUUCCGUUGCAACUGUCUUAUCACCAACAUCACCAAGCAUGCUACUUUAGGGGUAUUCCAAAGAGCUGCAAAAUCACUCAAGAGACACAGGACAUUUCACCGGAUUGGACAAGGCUAGUAAGGUGAAAGAGAAGAGGCCUGAAGAUUGCAGAGAGCUAGUGACAACAUCACUGGAAUGGUUGAGAUCCACAGUGUGUCAGGAGUGAAUCUCGGUUAUGAGCAUGACUGCAUACCGAGCCCUGAGAUCCCACCUAGCAAAUGGCUGAACUCUCGGGAGAUGUUGAGGACCUCCAACACAUUAACCAUCUGGGGAUUUUUAUAAGAAAUGGGACCUAAUUCAACCCACAGUCUGGUUGCAGGAACAAGGUUAUAAAAGAGACAGGUUAUGGUCAGUUUAGGGAUUGUCAUAUCUGCAAAAACUAAAGAACAGAGAAUUGCUGCUUAUCUCCCACAAAACUGUGAAUUAACAAUAAAAAAAUGCUGAAUUUGAAGUAUGAACUGAUGAGGAUUCUUAGUAUAUUCUUUGAAGAGUAAAUCAGAUGGGAAAUCAAUUGGAAAGUGCAAAUGAGGAAAAUAACAAAGAAACUAAAUGUGGAAAUUUUUUGAAUUGAUAAUUGAAUUGAUCUUAUUUUUAUAAGAGUAAGUGUUUUCUGGCACAAGUUCUGUACCUUCAUUAGACAUAUGCUUGUACAAAU